GCACGAGUGAGUUUUUCAAAGACCUCAAAAUAGCGAGUGCUAUUUGAGGUCUUUGAAAAACUCACGAGUGC